CCAUCUCCAAUUUGUCUCCAGUUCCAGACUGGGAAGCCAUCAGUGCAGCUGAGCAAGGGAUGAAGGAGGAGAUGCCGAGGGACGUGUAAACCACUUUGCAAGAUCAUCCCAGGAAAGGAACUAAAGGAGCCAGAACUUAGGGAGGAGGAGGAUAUCAGGAAGCCUCCUAAUCCUUGCUGUGUUGCCAAAUGAUGGAAAUGUGAAAGCUGCCAGAAAGAACAGGGAUCAGAAGUGUCCAUUUCUAAUCAACCUAGGAAAUGAUA
rnacentral:lncRNA from 1 species